UAAUUUAGAUCAACUUUAAUACGUACGGUAAAUAAACAACAAAACAAAAAAAAACAACUAAAACCUACAGAUAGCAAUUUUUGACAUUAUUUAAUGUUUAAACAGUUAAAACAUGCAACAAUCAUAUAAACAGACAAUAAUAGAUCUACAUCAAUGAAUCAAUUUUUAACAAUGUGUUAAAAUUUUUAUAACCACUCACACAUCAACAUUAUAUGCUAUUUCAUUGAUACAACAGCUCAGCUAAGUGAAAGACAUGUCAAAGUUUUUAUUCUAUAUGCCAUUCAAUGUUUCACUCUCACGAGGUUAAAGGGUGACUAUAGAAGAAUCUCAUUUUUUAAACUCACUAGUCAAAGGUCUCAUUAUAUAUCAUGUAAAUAUGCCUUUGUGUGACUGAGGGGUCUAACUGUAACCCUUGAAUGAAUACCCUUAUGAAAGACAGCCUAUAAUACAAAUAGGGUAUUCACAUCACACUCUGAGACACUCUGUGACUGACUGAACCCAACACACUCCCCCCCCCCU